AGAGCGAACGCUGGCGGCAGGCUUAACACAUGCAAGUCGAGCGGGCGUAGCAAUACGUCAGCGGCAGACGGGUGAGUAACGCGUGGGAACGUACCUUUUGGUUCGGAACAACACAGGGAAACUUGUGCUAAUACCGGAUAAGCCCUUACGGGGAAAGAUUUAUCGCCGAAAGAUCGGCCCGCGUCUGAUUAGCUAGUUGGUGAGGUAACGGCUCACCAAGGCGACGAUCAGUAGCUGGUCUGAGAGGAUGAUCAGCCACAUUGGGACUGAGACACGGCCCAAACUCCUACGGGAGGCAGCAGUGGGGAAUAUUGGACAAUGGGCGAAAGCCUGAUCCAGCCAUGCCGCGUGAGUGAUGAAGGCCCUAGGGUUGUAAAGUCCUUUUAACGGGGAAGAUAAUGACGGUACCCGUAGAAUAAGCCCCGGCUAACUUCGCGCCAGCAGCCGC
rnacentral:rRNA from 1 species